CUCCGAGCUAAAAAUGUGGGGCUCAACCGCUCAUAGCCGACCUGUCUCUCUGUGCACUUCUAUGCCCAUCUCUGACUGACUGCAAUCCAUUUUUUGCAGAUCAGAAUCAUCAAGUCUUUCUAUAACCAGAUACCUCAUUGAUAAUUGAAUCCCUAGCUAGUAGGGAUGUCCUCCGCGGAGCACUGUACUCAGAUUCAGGACAUUGUAGUUGCCAUCGAGGUCGACUCAAAUCCAACACGUUCAG